rnacentral:lncRNA from 1 species
CUGAAGACCCCGGCGGGCCACAGGAAAGGAAAGCAAGUCACCACACCACGGAGAGGUUAGAGGAGCCAGUCCUGUGAGAUGUGAGUGACAGGGAAUAACAAACACCAGGACAGUUUGUAGUGAGACCACCGUGCUGUGUGCACGUGAGCGUGCGUGUGCGUGUGUGUGACAUUCCCAAGAUGAUACAAGAAGGGCGGGACAACGGUUGGGAGGAAGUGGACAGCCCAUCCAAGGAACCAAACCAUGCAGGCCACGCCACUCUGACUCGGUUUCCAGCAGUUCGCCUUUUCCUAUGUCAACACCAUACCGAAUAACCACUUGUGAAGCAACCUUAAAAAAAAGAAAAGGAAAAGGAAAAAACUAUUCAUGUAAUUGUCUAGAAUUGUGUUUGUGGUCACAGCUUGAACACUGCUGUACUUCAUUCUUCUCUCCUCCAGCCCAGUCUUGUAAAAAACCGUUGAUGCCCUGUUUAGGUAGGCCUUAAUCUUUUCAAGUUCGGUUUACCAUGCAGGUACCAUGGGAAAGACUCACUCCGGGCAGUGGAUGAUAAGGGGACACGUUCAGAAUGGAGCUGGAGGGAAAACCCCAAAAGUUGCCCAUCAGCUGCUGUCAUAAGAAUGGAGGUGUGGAAAUGGGCUGAUACUUAAAGCGAAACUAAAAACAUGGUUUGACAGACAAUAUGGAUAACUACCACACCGGAAAAGGUCAUACUCACUUGAGCUCAUACUCACUUCUUAAUCUGAACUCUUUGCCCCCUGAGAGUUAGAAGGAUUUGCACGAGGAAGUGAAGAGAGAAGUCAUGGUGUUGGAGGAAAAGAAAGGCUUCCGGCUGCAGAGUACACCUUGGUACUGUUGCUCAGUCACACCUGGGUACUGCUUCUUCUGCAUGAAUAUUUUAGCUGAUCUUGAUUCAGGCCUGGGCACUGGCGUGCAGAGGUGCUUCCAGUAAAUUGAGGGCAGGGGAUCCUGACCCUUGCAGUUUCCUCCAGGCUGUACCUGCCAGGUCAGUAACACCACCAAUCUUUGCCAAUCAGUGCUGAUGACUCCCCCACCCCAGCCUUGCCCCAUCCAACCCCAGGCAAUGGGGAAGCUUGAUAGAAAUCCAGACUGUUUCUCAAUAGGAAAACUGCUAUACAACACAAUUCCUGCACUGUGGUUUUACUACGAAAUAAAGAUUGUUUGAGUCAUGAAA